rnacentral:lncRNA from 1 species
GGGGGGAGGGAUAGCAUUAGGAGAUAUACCUAAUGAUAAAUGACGAGUUAAUGGGUGCAGCACACCAACAUGGCACAUGUAUACAUAUGUAACAAACCUGCACAUUGUGCACAUGUACCCUAAAACUUAAAGUAUAAUAAUAAUAAAACUAAAUAAAUAAAUAAAUCUACGGGUGGAUUUUUCAGAUGCACUGGCAGAGCAAAUAUCGGUUUUAUAUAAAAAGUCAGCAUAAGCCAAUUGGAGAAAUGUGAGGGAAUGCUUCUAACUACUUCAUUACAUCCUAAUCACAAAAGCAGAAAGGACAAUGGAUAAAGACAAAAGCAAAUGUACAUUAUCACAUUUUGGCCCUAUACAACUAUUAGGACAAGAGAGGAAGGAGAAAAGCAGGCCCACGUCAGUUUAAAAAUGCCAUACACUGCACUCCAGGUCUGGUAAUCUGGCUCAACCAGAUUGAGGCUGGUAACCUGGCUCAACCAGUUCUGCGAUUUCACCCAAGAACAGAAGACAGCAAGAGAAACUCACUUUGACCCCCUAUGAUUCCAUCUCCAACCCGACCAAUCAGCACACCCCACUUCCCAAGCCUCUCCCCACCAAAUUAUCCUUAAAAACUCUGAUCCCGGGGAAGGCUUGGAAAGACAGAUUUG